GAUGAACGCUGGCGGCGUGCCUAAUACAUGCAAGUCGAGCGAACAGACGAGGAGCUUGCUCCUCUGACGUUAGCGGCGGACGGGUGAGUAACACGUGGAUAACCUACCUAUAAGACUGGGAUAACUUCGGGAAGCCGGAGCUAAUACCGGAUAAUAUAUUGAACCGCAUGGUUCAAUAGUGAAAGACGGUUUUGCUGUCACUUAUAGAUGGAUCCGCGCCGCAUUAGCUAGUUGGUAAGGUAACGGCUUACCAAGGCGACGAUGCGUAGCCGACCUGAGAGGGUGAUCGUCCACACUGGAACUGAGACACGGUCCAGACUCCUACGGGAGGCAGCAGUAGGGAAUCUUCCGCAAUGGGCGAAAGCCUGACGGAGCAACGCCGCGUGAGUGAUGAAGGUCUUCGGAUCGUAAAACUCUGUUAUUAGGGAAGAACAAAUGUGUAAGUAACUAUGCACGUCUUGACGGUACCUAAUCAGAAAGCCACGGCUAACUACGUG
rnacentral:rRNA from 1 species